UCUGUACGAAGUCUUGAUCAGCCUGCCGCGUGUUGAAGAAGGCCUUCGGAUUGAAGUCUGUUGUUAGGGAGGACAGGUGCCGUUCAAUAACGGCGGCGCCUGGACGUUACCUAACCAGAAAGCCCCGGUUAAUUCGUGGCCACCACCCGGGGAAAUACGAAGGUGGCAGGCGUUGUCCGAAUUUAUGGGGGGAAAAGCGCGCGCAGGUGGUUUCUUAAGUCUGAUGUGAAACCCCACGGCUCACCCGUGGAGGGUCUUUGGAAACUGGGGAACUUGAGUGCGGAAAAGGAAAGUGGAAUUCCAAGUGUAACGGGGAAAUGCGUAAAUAUUUGGAGGAACACCAGUGGCAAAGGGGACUUUCUGGUCUGUAACUGACCCUGAGGGCCAAAAGCGGGGGAAGCAAACAGGAUUAAAUACCCGGGAAUCCCCCCCCGAAAACAAUGAGAGCUAAAGGUUAGAGGCUUUCCGCCCUUUAUUGCUGCAGCUAACGCAUUAAGCACUCCGCCUGGGGAGUACGGUCGCAAGACUGAAACUCAAAAGAAUUGACGGGGCCCCGCACAAGCGGUGGAGCAUGUGUUUUAAUUCGAAGCAACGCGAAGAACCUUACCAGGUCUUGACAUCCUCAGACUACCCUAGAGAUAGGGCUGUCCCCUUCGGAGCACAGAGUGACGGGUGGUGCGUGUGUGUCGUCAGCUCGUGUCGUGAGAUGUUGAAAUAACUCCCGCAACGAGCGCCCCCCUUGAUCUUAUCUGCCAGCAUUCAGUUGGACACUCUAAGAUGACUGCCGGUGACAAACCGGAGGAAGGUGGGGAUGACGUCAAGUCAUCAUGCCUCUUA
rnacentral:rRNA from 1 species